UCCUUGGUGUUUCCUCCGGGCCUCCUGCAUGCUUCUCUUUACCAAAAUUCAUUUUCGCUUUUGUUGUUCCUUCUACAAAUUUUAGAUGUUUUUUUAAUUUCUAGUGUAGAAACACCUUAAAAUCACUCUCUCCAUAUACACAGGUUUACCCUAAUUUCUUCUCUAUUUCUACAUUUUAUGGAUUUAAGAACUUGAUUUUUGUUUUUGUAAACUUGCCAUACACAGGUUUGCCAUACACAGUGAAGAUGUCGAUGAAAAAAAAAAAGAAAAAAAAAACUAACCGGCCCGACCAUAAGCGACGACCCGCCCGACCCCCCGGCUCCCGGCCAGACCGCCGGCCUAAUGUUGAAACGGGUUUAUAGCCUGGACCAGCCCGGUAAAGGCUCCGGACCCGGCCGGACCGGUCCGACCGGCCGGCCCGGUCCGGUUUUGAGAACGUUGCUUUGUUUAAUGUUUGUUUACAGAUGGAUGAUGAAGCAGCCGAUUGGUUGCGUCUAAUUGAAAGUGGUGGCUAUUUGGAUGAAAGUCUAACCGAUAUGUUGGAUGAAAUCAGGAUGUUGAGUGAAAUUGGCGUCGAGCAGUUCAUUAAUGCACUUGAACCUUCGCCUUUGCACACCAGACCUUUUUUUUUUUUGAAGAAAAUGGAGACGUCAACAAAUACGUCUUUUGGAAUGAACCUUUGGUUGUUGAAGGAGAUGUACCUAGCUCUAUUUUCGUUAUGAGGACUUUGAAUGAAAAGAUAGUUGAGGUAUUUUCAAGCAUGGACACUUUGCAUGAACCUGUGCUUAUACAGUUCUGGAAGAAAGAAAUUAAGGGAAACAUAGCUACACUCAAUGCAAGUGCACAACCCUUCAUAGCAGGGAAACUAACAUUGGAAUUGCUAUCCAAAGGGGUUCGAGUUGUGAAACUGAAUAUAUUAUGGAAACACAUGGCCGCAUGAUCAAAAUGUGGCGUCACAAUUAUAAGCAAGAUGGGCAACCUGAUGAAUCGAAUCCAAGGACAAGUUAUUUCAUGCCACUUGUGUAUCGCGAUGAUGUUGUGGGAUUUAGAGUAUUACUUCCCGUGUGUGAUUAGAUGGAAAGACCCUUCUGGUUGUGUAGGAAUUGUAGACAUACAAGUGAACCACAAAAAAUAUGAUGAGGGUACCAGAUCGGUUGUUUUUACAAAGACUGAUUUGGGGAGGAUGACUUUAACUAUUAUUCAACAACUGCAGAAUUUUGGGUUGGGGAUAGUAAAAGGUACGGAGUGUAUUAGCCCCUUGGUGAAUGCAAGCAUGCUACCCAUAACAGCCCUAGGGCAUUUCCGAAAUGCAUUGAAGGAAGUUUAUGAAUCACAUAGGAUACCACUCGCGCACGCGUGGAUGCAGAGUUCUGGAUAUGCUCGUGAUGACCAGCCCCAAAACAUGGGAUUAAAAUUGUACUCCUGUCACACCCUGACUUUUGCGAAAGCGUGAUAUUUGGUGUGACUUCUUAAUACCAUAGCAUUCAAUCAUAACAACGUUAUAUGAUAAAACGAUUAGAUGUUCAUCCAUAAAUUGAGUUUGAAAAUAACACAAUAUAAAUUGUCUGAAACGUUGACACCAAAUUUAAGUUACAAACCAUAACAUAUUUUAAUGAGUUCACGAAGACUCGACAAAAGAUCUUAAAUAAACCCGAGUUUAGAACCAUGUAUCUCGUCCAGGAUUAAGAUACAUCUCCUAAACUCAAAGACUUGAAUGACAUCUUUUAUUUAUAACGCAGCUUGAAAACAUGCAACACCUGCCAGAUCCCCUUA